rnacentral:rRNA from 1 species
AACGAACGCUGGCGGCAGGCCUAACACAUGCAAGUCGAACGCCCCUUCGGGGGAGUGGCAGACGGGUGAGUAACGCGUGGGAAUCUUCCUAUUGGUUCGGAAUAACCCAGGGAAACUUGGGCUAAUACCGGAUGGUCCCUCCGGGGUAAAGAUUUAUCGCCAAUAGAUGAGCCCGCGUCUGAUUAGCUAGUUGGUGAGGUAAUGGCUCACCAAGGCGACGAUCAGUAGCUGGUCUGAGAGGAUGAUCAGCCACACCGGGACUGAGACCCGGCCCAGACUCCUACGGGAGGCAGCAGUGGGGAAUAUUGGACAAUGGGCGCAAGCCUGAUCCAGCCAUGUCGCGUGAGUGAAGAAGGCCUUAGGGUUGUAAAGCUCUUUCAAUCGUGAAGAUAAUGACGGUAGCGAUAGAAGAAGCCCCGGCUAACUCCGUGCCAGCAGCCGCGGUAA